CAGCAGCCGCGGUAAUACGUAGGUGGCAAGCGUUGUCCGGAUUUAUUGGGCGUAAAGCGAGCGCAGGCGGUUUCUUAAGUCUGAUGUGAAAGCCCCCGGCUCAACCGGGGAGGGUCAUUGGAAACUGGGAAACUUGAGUGCAGAAGAGGAGAGUGGAAUUCCAUGUGUAGCGGUGAAAUGCGUAGAUAUAUGGAGGAACACCAGUGGCGAAGGCGGCUCUCUGGUCUGUAACUGACGCUGAGGCUCGAAAGCGUGGGGAGCAAACAGGAUUAGAUACCCCCGUAGUCCCUGUCUCUUAUAC
rnacentral:rRNA from 1 species